UGGUAAGUAAAAUAACCAAUCUUUGGCAUAAUCAUCAAGUGAGAAUGGGAAUGCUCUCAGUUUUACAUCCUCUUCAGAUAUGCCUUGCGGCCUCAUGGAUGAACAUACAAUGUGAAAUUCUUUCAAGUGCUUAUGUGGAUUUUCAUUCUCCAAACCUCUAAAUUUAGGGAGUAGAUGUAUCAAACCUGUUUUGAGCUCAAAAGGGGCUGUCAAAGGUGGGUAAGUGAUGCACCAUAGUGCUUGAUCAUCCACAGGGGCUGCCAACUCUCUCAGUGUUCUUUCUCUUGGUAUUGGUGCCCUCAUGGUUGGAUUUU
rnacentral:lncRNA from 1 species